rnacentral:rRNA from 1 species
GACGAACGCUGGCGGCGCGCCUAACACAUGCAAGUCGAACGAGCGAGAGAGAGCUUGCUUUCUCGAGCGAGUGGCGAACGGGUGAGUAACGCGUGAGGAACCUGCCUCAAAGAGGGGGACAACAGUUGGAAACGACUGCUAAUACCGCAUAAGCCCACGGGUCGGCAUCGACCAGAGGGAAAAGGAGCAAUCCGCUUUGAGAUGGUCUCGCGUCCGAUUAGCUAGUUGGUGAGGUAAUGGCCCACCAAGGCGACGAUCGGUAGCCGGACUGAGAGGUUGAACGGCCACAUUGGGACUGAGACACGGCCCAGACUCCUACGGGAGGCAGCAGUGGGGAAUAUUGCACAAUGGGGGAAACCCUGAUGCAGCGACGCCGCGUGGAGGAAGAAGGUCUUCGGAUUGUAAACUCCUGUUGUUGGGGAAGAUAAUGACGGUACCCAACAAGGAAGUGACGGCUAACUACGUG